GUGGGGAAUUUUGCGCAAUGCUCGAAAGAGUGACGCAGCGACGCCGCGUGAAUGACGAAGGCCUUCGGGUCGUAAAGUUCUUUCGACAGGGAAGAAAGUGCAUAUAAGUAACUGUAUAUGUAUUGACGGUACCUGUAUAAGCAGCCCCGGCUAACUCCGUGCCAGCAGCCGCGGUAAUACGGAGGGGGCGAGCGUUGUUCGGAGUGACUGGGCGUAAAGAGCACGUAGGCGGUGUUGUAAGUCAUUAGUCAAAGACUAGAGCUCAACUUUAGUAAGGCUAGUGAUACUAUAAUACUAGAGUAUCAGAGAGGAUUGCAGAAUUCCUGGUGUAGCGGUGAAAUGCGUAGAUAUCAGGAGGAAUACCGUUAGCGAAGGCGGCAAUCUGGCUGGAAACUGACGCUGAGGUGCGAAAGCGUGGGUAGCAAACAGG
rnacentral:rRNA from 1 species